rnacentral:rRNA from 2 species
GACGAACGCUGGCGGCGUGCCUAAUACAUGCAAGUCGAACGAACUCUGGUAUUGAUUGGUGCUUGCAUCAUGAUUUACAUUUGAGUGAGUGGCGAACUGGUGAGUAACACGUGGGAAACCUGCCCAGAAGNGGGGGAUAACACCUGGAAACAGAUGCUAAUACCGCAUAACAACUUNGACCGCAUGGUCCGAGUUUGAAAGAUGGCUUCGGCUAUCACUUUUGGAUGGUCCCGCGGCGUAUUAGCUAGAUGGUGAGGUAACGGCUCACCAUGGCAAUGAUACGUAGCCGACCUGAGAGGGUAAUCGGCCACAUUGGGACUGAGACACGGCCCAAACUCCUACGGGAGGCAGCAGUAGGGAAUCUUCCACAAUGGACGAAAGUCUGAUGGAGCAACGCCGCGUGAGUGAAGAAGGGUUUCGGCUCGUAAAACUCUGUUGUUAAAGAAGAACAUAUCUGAGAGUAACUGUUCAGGUAUUGACGGUAUUUAACCAGAAAGCCACGGCUAACUACGUGCCAGCAGCCGCGGUAAUACGUAGGUGGCAAGCGUUGUCCGGAUUUAUUGGGCGUAAAGCGAGCGCAGGCGGUUUUUUAAGUCUGAUGUGAAAGCCUUCGGCUCAACCGAAGAAGUGCAUCGGAAACUGGGAAACUUGAGUGCAGAAGAGGACAGUGGAACUCCAUGUGUAGCGGUGAAAUGCGUAGAUAUAUGGAAGAACACCAGUGGCGAAGGCGGCUGUCUGGUCUGUAACUGACGCUGAGGCUCGAAAGUAUGGGUAGCAAACAGGAUUAGAUACCCUGGUAGUCCAUACCGUAAACGAUGAAUGCUAAGUGUUGGAGGGUUUCCGCCCUUCAGUGCUGCAGCUAACGCAUUAAGCAUUCCGCCUGGGGAGUACGGCCGCAAGGCUGAAACUCAAAGGAAUUGACGGGGGCCCGCACAAGCGGUGGAGCAUGUGGUUUAAUUCGAAGCUACGCGAAGAACCUUACCAGGUCUUGACAUACUAUGCAAAUCUAAGAGAUUAGACGUUCCCUUCGGGGACAUGGAUACAGGUGGUGCAUGGUUGUCGUCAGCUCGUGUCGUGAGAUGUUGGGUUAAGUCCCGCAACGAGCGCAACCCUUAUUAUCAGUUGCCAGCAUUAAGUUGGGCACUCUGGUGAGACUGCCGGUGACAAACCGGAGGAAGGUGGGGAUGACGUCAAAUCAUCAUGCCCCUUAUGACCUGGGCUACACACGUGCUACAAUGGAUGGUACAACGAGUUGCGAACUCGCGAGAGUAAGCUAAUCUCUUAAAGCCAUUCUCAGUUCGGAUUGUAGGCUGCAACUCGCCUACAUGAAGUCGGAAUCGCUAGUAAUCGCGGAUCAGCAUGCCGCGGUGAAUACGUUCCCGGGCCUUGUACACACCGCCCGUCACACCAUGAGAGUUUGUAACACCCAAAGUCGGUGGGGUAACCUUUUAGGAACCAGCCGCCUAAGGUGGGACAGAUGAUUAGGGUGAAG